CGACUGCGACAGGACUCGAACCUGCAAUCCUCAGAUCCGAAGUCUGAUGCCUUAUCCAUUAGGCCCGCGGCC
rnacentral:tRNA from 1 species